rnacentral:rRNA from 1 species
AUGGGAAACAGGUUAAUAUUCCUGUACUUGGUGUUACUGCGAAGGGGGGACGGAGAAGGCUAUGUUGGCCGGGCGACGGUUGUCCCGGUUUAAGCGUGUAGGCUGGUUUUCCAGGCAAAUCCGGAAAAUCAAGGCUGAGGCGUGAUGACGAGGCACUACGGUGCUGAAGCAACAAAUGCCCUGCUUCCAGGAAAAGCCUCUAAGCAUCAGGUAACAUCAAAUCGUACCCCAAACCGACACAGGUGGUCAGGUAGAGAAUACCAAGGCGCUUGAGAGAACUCGGGUGAAGGAACUAGGCAAAAUGGUGCCGUAACUUCGGGAGAAGGCACGCUGAUAUGUAGGUGAAGUCCCUCGCGGAUGGAGCUGAAAUCAGUCGAAGAUACCAGCUGGCUGCAACUGUUUAUUAAAAACACAGCACUGUGCAAACACGAAAGUGGACGUAUACGGUGUGACGCCUGCCCGGUGCCGGAAGGUUAAUUGAUGGGGUUAGCCGCAAGGCGAAGCUCUUGAUCGAAGCCCCGGUAAACGGCGGCCGUAACUAUAACGGUCCUAAGGUAGCGAAAUUCCUUGUCGGGUAAGUUCCGACCUGCACGAAUGGCGUAAUGAUGGCCAGGCUGUCUCCACCCGAGACUCAGUGAAAUUGAACUCGCUGUGAAGAUGCAGUGUACCCGCGGCAAGACGGAAAGACCCCGUGAACCUUUACUAUAGCUUGACACUGAACAUUGAGCCUUGAUGUGUAGGAUAGGUGGGAGGCUUUGAAGUGUGGACGCCAGUCUGCAUGGAGCCGACCUUGAAAUACCACCCUUUAAUGUUUGAUGUUCUAACGUUGACCCGUAAUCCGGGUUGCGGACAGUGUCUGGUGGGUAGUUUGACUGGGGCGGUCUCCUCCUAAAGAGUAACGGAGGAGCACGAAGGUUGGCUAAUCCUGGUCGGACAUCAGGAGGUUAGUGCAAUGGCAUAAGCCAGCUUGACUGCGAGCGUGACGGCGCGAGCAGGUGCGAAAGCAGGUCAUAGUGAUCCGGUGGUUCUGAAUGGAAGGGCCAUCGCUCAACGGAUAAAAGGUACUCCGGGGAUAACAGGCUGAUACCGCCCAAGAGUUCAUAUCGACGGCGGUGUUUGGCACCUCGAUGUCGGCUCAUCACAUCCUGGGGCUGAAGUAGGUCCCAAGGGUAUGGCUGUUCGCCAUUUAAAGUGGUACGCGAGCUGGGUUUAGAACGUCGUGAGACAGUUCGGUCCCUAUCUGCCGUGGGCGCUGGAGAACUGAGGGGGGCUGCUCCUAGUACGAGAGGACCGGAGUGGACGCAUCACUGGUGUUCGGGUUGUCAUGCCAAUGGCACUGCCCGGUAGCUAAAUGCGGAAGAGAUAAGUGCUGAAAGCAUCUAAGCACGAAACUUGCCCCGAGAUGAGUUCUCCCUGACUCCUUGAGAGUCCUGAAGGAACGUUGAAGACGACGACGUUGAUAGGCCGGGUGUGUAAGCGCAGCGAUGCGUUGAGCUAACCGGUACUAAUGAACCGUGAGGCUUAACCUU